GCCAGGGUGGUUCAGUGGUUAGAGAGUUGGACUAGGACUUGGGAGAACAGGGUUCAAAUCCCCGCUCAGCCA